rnacentral:piRNA from 1 species
CUAACAUGGAAUGGAAUUCUGCCA